GGGGGCGUAUUUGGUUUCGACGGGGGUAUGGGUGAUUCGAUAAGCGAGCCGUGGUUUGGUCUUCGGUGCCACGUUAAAAAGCUGGGGACAAACAAUAAACGCUAACGAUAAUUUAGCAUUAGCAGCCUAAUUUAGGCAGCUCGUUCAACCCUGGAAUCCCACGGCCGGGGAUUGGGCGUCGAUUAGUGGGGCACCGCGCUUUACAAAGCUUUGAGUAAAGAACGGAAUUUAUGAAGCUACUGAAGUCAGUAUCCUGUCAGUGGGAGACUGACGGAGGGAAUGUUAAUUCAUUGACUGCGCUCGGAGAAACUCGGGUUUUCUGACUUUCGGACAGGGGUUCAACUCCCCUCGCCUCCACCA
rnacentral:tmRNA from 1 species